rnacentral:lncRNA from 1 species
GCACAUUCAAGGGACGGAUCUCUCUCUCAGACCAUCUUGUUACUGUGAAGAAUGCAAGUAAAUGGAUGGCCGCAGAAUACCGAGUUCUUAGUUUCCUUCAUGGAACCUGUAUGGCUCACAUCAAUCUGACGGUGCCUGAUUCUGGGCCUGCAGGUCCCAUAUCAGAGACCCCGUCUGGUGGAGAGGGGGCUGCUGAUCCGACCGGAGAGGGAAGUAGCCAGGGAACACUUUCCAAUGGCUCUCCGAAGCGGGAGCCAAGAGGCUGCUAUGGCGUGUGGAUAUCAUUGGGGUUCGUUGCUGCUUUGUUUACUGCUGCUGCACUUUAUGUCUGCUGGAAACAUGAGAGAGAAGGACCAGAAACCCAUCAUGGUUGCAAAGAGAAAGGGAUCUCAGACUCCCCUGUUUGCGUGCCGGCCCAGUCUCACAUCUGCACGAGGCUGGAACUCGAGAUGGAGAGGCUGGUCAGGAGAUCCCACUGAAUGGAGAGGUGAUACAGCCCCGGGAACUGAGCUGGCUGCCCCAACGCAGCCGAGAGGCAGCACUUUAAUAGCGUUGAAUGGCCGAGGUGCGGGCGCCUCCUGUGUGUGUUGAACAGCUGUGAUCAUUGCACUAGCCUGGAUGUGACUUCUUUCCAUGUAAGCUAGGGAUGCCCUUGCACUUACGGCUCUGGGCUGGAACACCUGGGUCUUCCACCAACCCCCUGUCUAGGGCGAGUCACUCAAGGCCAAAUAUUCAAGAGCUCAGACUGUGAGUGGGUGUUAAUCCGAAGGCUCAUGCAGCUGCCUAAUUGGGAAUUGAGCUACUCUGAAAAUCUGGCCUUCCACUGUCCUGUGCCUUAGUUUCCCAUCUUUAAAAUGAGAUGAUACUCCAUGUAGAUUGUAAGCACUUUGGGGCAGGGAGUGAGUGUGAGUGUGAGUGUGAGUGAGAGUGAUCGAUCACUGUGGGGCCUUGACUGGAGCUGUAGGCUCCCUUGUAAUAUUAAUAUUCAUAAGUAAGGCUACGAAUCUGUGAUGGAGCUCACAGACACUGUGAUUCUUUUUUUAAAAAGUGAGCCCUCCACAGCUUCUUGAAAAUGCCAAUAAUUCCUGCUUCCUGGGGUUGGUUUAGGCAUCCGUGAUUUAUUAUUUAUUUCCCGUGUCUUGUUGC